AUUGAACGCUGGCGGCAUGCCUUACACAUGCAAGUCGAACGGUAGAGUAGCAAUACUUGAGAGUGGCGAACGGGUGAGUAAUAUAUCGGAACGUGCCCAACUGUGGGGGAUAACGUAGAGAAAUUUACGCUAAUACCGCAUACGAUCUAAGGAUGAAAGCGGGGGAUCGCAAGACCUCGCGCAGUUGGAGCGGCUGAUAUCAGAUUAGCUUGUUGGUGAGGUAAAAAGCUCACCAAGGCGACGAUCUGUAGCUGGUUUGAGAGAACGACCAGCCACACUGGGACUGAGACACGGCCAGACUCCUACGGGAGGCAGCAGU
rnacentral:rRNA from 1 species